UUCAAAAAGGACUCGGAUGUCUACAAACGUUUUAACGUUUCACUAAGGACAAGAAGAGCCGCCUGUCGUCGAUCGCAGGGCUGAGAUUUUGUGGCUAGACAAUCGAAAUGAAAGGUUAACCUUUGCACUUGAAAUCUGCGGUGGAUUUGUGGCCGUGGGUACAUUUUAGCUCGGGAUUUUUUACUUCGUUCGGGAGGCUGUCUGGACAGAAGUGUUCGACCUAGUCUUCUCUUUAAUAAGAGAAAACCAGGAUUAAAAAAAGACCGCUUAAAUCAAGUGAAACCAGGAGCAAGCAACACACGUAUCGAAUAAGGAUAUCUGUCUUUGGGGCACACACACACACACACGAGUUUUCCUAUUUGGUUUCGCUCUCUGAAAAGUUACCAUGAUUUCAGUUCAGUAUGAGAGCUUGAGCUAAGAAGCUAAGAAGAUAAGAAGACUGCAACGAAAGACAAACCAAGCGAGUAACAUUGACUGUCUGCCACGACAUGCUUUAGCGGCACAACACAACACAAACAAGCGGGGGGCAAAUUACGAAAAAUGAUCCCCUCUGGCCUGCUGACCUUGUCAGAAGACUAAUAUACCGUAUUCAUAUCUGUCUCUUUUGUCAUUCAUAUCUGUCUUUGGCGCGACAAACGCACUCAAAGAGAUGAAAAACAUCUAAUUCAGCGCUCCCUUAUAAUAUUUUAAUUGACUUUGCAGGAAGCAGCAUUGUCCAGUUUUUUCAUUCGUGUUUGUUCUUACCAAGAAACAAACCGCAGAGUAAGUUACUUGCAAAACCAGAGGCUGGAGCCGGAAGUCAGCGUACAGCAUUCAAAUUUGCAUUUUGUUUUAACUUAAUUUCCGUGCAAGGCUGAACGUAAAGUCGCUGAAUUCUUUUGUGCCUAAGAUGUAGGCGAGACAACCCCUCAUACACAAAAUUCCAACGUUUCCUCUUCUUUAGCCGGAAAUGCACCAACAGCUUAUGAUCACAAAUUUUAAACCACAUUGUGUUUGGAGAUACUUCACUUGUAGUUAGCUUGUAUCCGUUUAUGAAAACGUAACGCAGUCGGCCGAGUAAGAUCAAAUUUGACAUUUGUGACAAAUGUCAAAGCGCUCGGGUUGUUGAUUCUUGCCUUUGUUUAACUACUUACUCAAAUUUGUGAGACGAUUGCGUUGUUAUGGGUCCAAGGUGACUGGUUGCGUUAAUAAUAAAUACUUCUGUUAACAAGUAACCUGGAUCAGUCAUGCUCAGCAAAUUCACGUGUGCGAAAUGAGAGGUGUUAUCAUUACUGGCUUAUGUUCUUCAGCUUUGACGGCUAUGGGCUACUGCUUCCCGUUUAGUUGUUCCGCCUUUUUGGAUGUCAAUAUUGAUUUGCGGCUAAAUGUUUGAUGUAUUUCUUUUUUGCGCGAUAAAUGUCAUUAAUAUUGGAGUCAA